rnacentral:rRNA from 1 species
UACGUAGGGCGCGAGCGUUGUCCGGAAUUAUUGGGCGUAAAGAGCUCGUAGGCGGCUUGUCGCGUCGGAUGUGAAAGCCCGGGGCUUAACUCCGGGUCUGCAUUCGAUACGGGCAGGCUAGAGUUCGGUAGGGGAGAUCGGAAUUCCUGGUGUAGCGGUGAAAUGCGCAGAUAUCUGGAGGAACACCGGUGGCGAAGGCGGCGUUCUGGACUGUUUCUGACACUGAGGAACGAAAGCCAGGGGAGCAAACGGG